GAAACAGUUAGUUAUGUUAAAGCUUAAAAAUAAUUGGGAUUAGUCAUGUUAAAGCUCAAAGAUUAAAUUUUAAAGCUUAUGUUGCCUAAAGUUACUUGUAAUCUUAUCUUUGUGGCUAAAUAUAACUAGGAUUUUAACGUUUCCUUCAAUGGCUCUCUUAGGAAAAAGGUCCAGGGUUUGAGUCCUAGCAUCAGUAUAGUGUGUGUGAG
rnacentral:lncRNA from 1 species